UUCAUUUAUUCCUACUGUAGAAUAUAAUGAUUUUUAAUUAAUUAUUUAGUCUCAUUAGGAGAAGAGUAGUUCAGCGUAAGACUUUGUGACUUUUGCGCCAUCCCCUUUAAGUGGGGAAGACAGAGAUAUCUGUUGUGGGUCCUUUAAGGGGAGAGGCUAAAGGUCAAAGCAGAGGGAAUUCUGGGCUCCAUCUUCUCUGACACUCUUAGAGGACGAGGAUGGGAGUAACUUUUUGAUCUCUGGGUCUGAGAGGCAGUUAGUGACAGUUGAAGAAAAAGAAAAAGAAAUUUUAAAAAAGAAGAAGGUUUUAGGGUGGGGAGAUACUUUUGUUGGGAGCGGAGAUAAAUACUGAGAUAAAAAAGAAUGAGGUUACUGAAAAGAAGCUUUUCCCCUCUCGGCCACAGGGGGCGAUAAAGAGAAGUUUUGUAUCCCUGGACAGAGACCUGCCUUUUCUCUGUUACGGAAGAGAGAGGAACUGCUUUAACUCCCUCUCAAGAAUUUACAAUUUCUGCAGAUAGAAGAUAACAGUGACUAGACCAUUGAACCUGGACUCAGAAAGAUCUCAGUUCAAAAAUGGCCUCAGACACCAGCUAUAUGGCCCUGGGCAAAUCUCUUAAUCUCUGUGUAUCUCAUUUUCUUCAACUGUAAAACCAGUAUAAUAACAGCACCUACUUUAUAGGCUUGUUUUAAGGACUAAAUGAAUUGUAAAAAUAUAAAGCAUAGUGCCUGGCACAUAGUAGCCACUAUAAAAAUGUGUAUUAUCUUCCUGUUUCUCCUUUAUUUUGUUAAUCUGUUUUAUAUUUUUAUAAUUAUUCAUCCACUUCCUCUGUUCCUAUCUGGUUAGCAUGUAAUUGAAAAAAAUAGUUUUGACUAAUUUACUUAAUUUUACUUCUAAACUACAGCCAAUUCUUGAUUUUUUGAUAUGAGAAAUUUUGUUUUCCUUUGUUUUCAAAUCAAAUUAGCUAACUGUUUUUCUAUUUCAUAAGUUUUUCUUCAAAAAGCCAGCUCCUGGUGUUAUUUAUGGAUUCAGUAUAUUUUAUUUCAAUUUUGCAAAUAUUUUCUUUAAUUUUCCAGGAUUUCUAUUUUGUUCCUUUGUUGAGGAUUUUCAUUUAUUCUUCACAUUGUUCAGUUAUGCUCCUGACUAAUUGACUUGUUCUUUCUCUCCUUUAUUAAUAAAGGUAUUUCUUAGAAAUAUGAAAUUUAUUUUUAUGUUUUGGCAACAUCAAAAUUCCAAUGUAUCUACCUACUUUCUGCACCAGAGAAGGCACCACUUGACAAAAAAAAAAAGCAACAGUAUAUAAAAACUAUGUCCUUUGUAUUUCUAUUUAUUAAUUCUUUCUUUGGAAGUAGACAUUCACAAGUUUUUCUUCAAACUUUAGUACUAUAGCUAUAUAUGUGUAUAUAUGUUAUAUAUGUAGAAGACACAGCUAUUAGGGAAAUUAUGGUAAUAGGAAAUGCUAAAUCCAUAACACCAGGAAACCAACUAGGGGAAAGACUGCAUCUUGCACUCCUCCCCUACCCUCCUUCCUGUUUCCCCUUCAACUGUCUUGAAUGUCCUUCUCAGAAAUGGUAAGUUUGAUGUUUGCUGUAAUAACUAACUCUCACAAUUAAAUCUUUCAACUAAGAGGUCUUUUAUUCUUUUAAAUAGAGGAGGAAGGUGAGGGGAAGGGGUGAGAGGAAAAUAGGUCUCCCUAAUUUUAUAACUUAUCCCUGUUGAUUGAUGAUUCUAAGAUAUAUUCAAAUUCAGGAAAUAAUGUUUUCUUUCCCUAAGGGGAGAUGUUGACAGCAAAGGCUGACGGGUUUCUUCUGAGCUAAACCCAAAAGUCUUCUCAGCACUCAGUCAUAUAGAUAAUCAGUAACCAAAGAGAGAGUUUGUUUUCCACCUUCUCUUCCAACAGCCAGAGAAGGAAGUGAAGUUCAAGCAGCUGGGCUUCCUAACUUCUCCCUCCAAGAUUCCACUGGAACUCUGUCUCCAUCUCAUUUGAUAUGCGUUUUACCAAGUUCUAAGCUUCUUGCUUUUUCUGCAGAUCCAUUUUAUCACUUCUCAAAAUCUUUGUUUGCAUACAUGUAUGUAUGUAUGUAUGUAUGUAUAUAUAUACAUAUAUAUAUGUUGUUAUCUUGGUUCUACUCGUUUUGUUUUUCAUAAUUUCAGAUCUUCCCAUUUUUUAAUUAACCUUUUCAUCAUUUUUUAUGGCAAAGUAGCAUUCCAUCACAAUCACAUACCACAACUUGUUUAGCCGUUCCCCAACUGAUGGACAUCCACUCAGUUUCCAGUUCUUUGUCACAACAAAAGGAGCUACUAUAAAUAUUUUAGAAAAUAUAGGUUUUUUUUUUCUUUUUCCCUCAUCUCUUGGGAAACAGACCCAACAGCAGUAUUGCUAGGCCUAAGGGUAUAUGCAAUUUUAUAACUCAUAACUUAUAAGUUUUGAUAUUUAUUUUUCCUUCCAAUUUAAUAAUUUCUUUUCAUUUUUAGAUAUUGUCCUAUUUUAUGCACACAUGUUAAAUAUUUUGAUACCAUAAUUUUGUGCAUAUAUAUUAAAUAUUCAUUAUUUGUGAUGCCUUUAAGCAUAAUUUCCUGUUUAUCUCUUUUUAAUAUCUCUUUAAUAUAGCUAUAUCUGAAAUACUGAUCUCCAUCUUUCCUUUUUUAGUUCAGUUAAAGUAUAUUUGAUUUUGCUCUAAUCUCUCAUUUUAACUCUGUGAAUUUUUGUAUCUUAAGCAUUUCUUGUAAAGAACAUAUUGUAGGAUUCUGUUUUCUAAUUCAUUCUGCUAUCUCAUUCCACUUUAUAGUUGAGUUCACUACAUUCAUAAAGAACAACUUCCUUUCAUAGACAUCAAAGAACUUGACAUUUAACCUCCAGUUAGAAUAUAAAAAAGUUUUAUCAUUUCCAUUUUGAAGUGGGAAAACUGAUGCAAUAAUAAUUAUAUUGAUUAUAAAAACUUGGGUUUAUAUAGUGCUUUUCUUCCUAAGGAAUCAGAAAACUACCAUAUCUCAUCCUUCUGGUUCUCCUAUAAAUAAUUGAAGGCUAUAUAUCAAACAAUUUCAAAUUACUUGCUUCUUAUUCUCAGACAAACCUGUGGUCACACUGGAAUUAGAAACUUGAUCUCCUAAGGAUGGCAUCCCUUGAGGUUCAUCAUAGGUAGUCAUUCACCCUAAGGUCUCGUCAUGCCUUUUGGCCUCUCUGUCAUUCAGCGUUUACAUGAGUAAGAACAGUUGCUUUAUAGCUCUUUCUGUGAUGGCAAAGAAUUAGAAAUUGAGGGGAUGCCUAUAAGUUGGGGAAUGGCCAACAAGUUGUGGUACAUGAUUGUGAUGGAAUACCAUUGGCUAUAAGCAAUGACAAGGUUGAAGAAAUACCUGGGAAGACAUAUGAAUUGGUGCAAAGUGAAGUGAGCAGAACCAGAAGAAUAUGAUAUACAAUAACAGCAAUAUCAUAACAAAUGAACAACUGUGAAAGACUUAGCUACUCUGAUCAAUACACUGAUCCAAGGUAAUUCCAAAGAAUCUAUGAUGAAAGAUGUUACCUACCUCCAGAGAGAGAACUAAUGAAUUCUGAGUACAGAUCGAAACAUUAUUUCUAACUUUAUUUUUCUUGCAUUUUUGCAACAUGGCUAAUAUAGAAAUAUAUUUUACAUGACUUCCCACAUAUAAUUGAUAUCAUAUUGCUUGAGUUCUCAAUGGAUGAGGAAGGCAGGAUAGAAUUUGUAACUCAAAUUUUAAAAAAGUUAAUGUAAAAAGAGCAGCUGCUUUGAUACGGAUAAGGAUUCCAUAUCCCUUUCCACAGAGUAAGAACUCUUCCAGAAUUAGUUGCUCAUACACUGAAACAAAGAUGGGUAAUUUGCUAGACUUCCCUGGAGGGUAAAUGCCAAUGGUUUAAAAAAUUGAUUGGAGAAAUUUUACUCAUCCUUGGACAAAAAUUGGUUUGAGUAAAUUAAGGCCCUGACACACAACCAUAGAGAAAUUAUUCCUUGUGGUUUUGGGGCCUCGAUAUCUUAAAUUGUAAGUGAAGUGGUUUGUGGGAAAUUUAAAUAAGACUAAUGGAUAAUAUGGAAACUGACAGAUCCUACUCAGAGAGAAAUUAUACAUCUAGAAUUUGGUCAAAAUGAGUGUGUCCCUCUUUGCUCUUAAUAAUGGAUUCUCAAAUAAGCCACUUAAGCUGGUUUUUUUCCCAUUCUCAUUCAUCUCUUUUAACCAUUUCUUUGGCUUUUCACAUAUUCUUUUUAUUUCUUUCUUUCUCCAUUUUCAUUCAUUUUUCCAUUCUAGUUCAACUCCGUCACCCAUUUUCAAUAGGACUUUGGUUGUCACAUCCCCAAUAUGGAUCUCAGUUUCUUCCACUCUUAUAUGGGGUAGGGGAAUCAGUUAGAUGUCCUCUAAUGUUCCUUCCAAUUCUAUGAUUCUAAACUAUUCUGUUUCUGUCUGUGCUAUUUUAUCUUAAUCUAUUCUGUUCUCUCUUUGCUUUUUAUCCUGGUUCCUUUUUGUCUCUUUCCUCCAUCUCUUGCCCUUCUGUACUGCCAAUAUAUUGUUUACAAGUUGAGCAAGUUCCUUUACUGCUCUGAAUUUCCAUUUCUUCCUGUGUGAAAAGGGUGUAAAAGCAGAUGUGCCCUUAAACUUCUCAUCAGUGCAGAGCUACAUGACACUCCUGUUUAGAAGAAGGAAGCAAAGAAUUGCCUUCAUCAUUCCCCCUGGGAAGCUUCAACCUUUGGGACAUUUCAAACUGACAUGAAAGAAUUGUAAAAAGGUCACUUAACAGCUAUUUUUGUUCAGUGUGGGUUUUCACCAGGCUUUUCUCUUUGUACCAAGUGAAAUUUCCUGUUGAAGGAUUCUAGCCUAUCUGUCACAUCUUCAGUAGGAUGAAGGACACAACAUAGGGGCCUCUUAUUGAAUAAUGGAGACCUACUUGUAACCUUCUAGGAUAUUAUAUGUCAGACUAAGCUACUGGGACUUCUUCCUUUUAAACAGCCCACUUUUUUGGAUGUGCCUUUUCCAGACCAAUGUUACUGCUUUAUUUGAUGAUCACUAGAUCGGGAAAAUAUCUCUGAAUGCUAGGUAUUGAGUAUGAACAUGGUGUGGUUCUCGGACACUAUUUGACAACACUUGUUGAUCUUAGGUCCCUUGAAAGAAGUUUUUAGAAAGAAGAAUGGGGCAUGGUUUGGUGAAAAGAGUAUUGGACUUGAAGGUUAAAAAAAAACUGGGUUACAUCUUCUCAGCCAAUAACAUAUCUUUUAAUUCCAAUUAACUUCAAAGUGACUAAGCACUUCCUUUAAAAAAUCUGGAUAUUUUAUUUCACUAAUGUAAAGAACUCCUAGCAUGGAAACUACGUUGAAUGCAGACUAUCCAUCAAGCUGUAAUUUCUGGCUUUGUUGCCUGGGGCAUAGGGAGGUUCACUUACUCAUCCAUACACAGUCAGUAUAGGUCAGUUAUGAGCCCAUGGCUUUCUGACUUCAAAGCUUCCCUUUAUCCAGUAUACCAGACUGCCCAUCAUUAAAUUCCUAAAGUCUUAAUGCAGAUUUGAGCUUUAAUAGUUCAAAUAAUUUUGAUAGCCGUUAAAGUGGUUUUAAUAGUUUAAACUACAUUAAGACUUUGGAGACACCCUGACCAAUGGGUAAACUGUGAUGGGAGCUGAGGGAAAUGCAAAGUUUAGAUAAGAUAAUCUUUAACUUUACCAUCACCACCAUAACUUACAUUUAUUUAGGGCAUUAUGGUUUGCAAAACAUUUUACAGUACUAUAGGUACUAUUACCCCCAUUUUACAGAUGAGUGAAUUAAGGCUCAUAGAAGUUAAGUUUUGAUGACAGUCAUAAAGCUGUAAGGGUAUUCUGUUAUUGUUGUUCAGACAUUUUAGUUAUAUCUGACUCUUCAUGACUUCAUCUGGAGAUUUCUUGUCAAAUAUACUGGACUAAUUUUUCAUUUCCUUUUCCAGCUCAUUUUUAUAUAUGAAGAAACUUUCCCAAGGUUACACAACCACUAAGUGUCUGAGGCUGAAUUUGAACUCAUGAAGAUGAAUUUUCCUAAGUCCAAGUCCAGUGCCCUAUCCAUUGUUCCACUUAGCUAUUUCAAGGUUAUUCUAAUAUGGGAUAAAAUAUGUACAUGCUAUACAUAGAUAACUAUACUUGGGCACUUUUAUGGAUCCAUAAUCUCAUCAAUAUAAGUAUUCCCUUUGCUGGUAUUAAUUAAAAAAUGUAUACAGCUCAUCUUGUCUAAUUCUCAUUGUCUUUUCAUAAAUCCUCUACAGGAGAUGCAUCCAAUAAGCUUGAUGUCUUCUUCUACUUUGUUAAUUUUCACAGACAAUAAUAAAAUAAAAUCAUAAAACGUGAAGACAGUUUGUAGCACCUACCCUGGCAUAGCCCCAACAUCUGCUUAGACUCAUAGUUCACAUCACGACAAGACAGCUGCUAUCUCAGAUUUCAGGGUACUCUGGGGGGAACUACACUAUAGCUCAUGAGUUAGUGUGUUUCCCAUUAACUUUCAGUCAAUAAACAUGAUUAAUCCACAUCAAAGGCAUUUAUUAAGGUGGCAAAAUAAAAAUAGUAGCUAUAAAAUAUUCUACCCCCAAAACCUGGGGUGUACUCUGACAAACACAUGGCUUCCAUGGGAAGGGUGGGUCUAAACUCAGAGCACACUGGUAGUGAGACAUGUAGGAAACACACAUGACAAAGGUUACUCACUACUUUGUACUAUAGAGCCUAGAAGUCCUUUCACUCUUAGUUGAAUAAUUCCUGGGUACAGAAUCUUUAUUAAGUGGGUUCCCAUAAUCUGUUCCUUUCUACAGUUUAAUUUUUGAUUGCUAAGGGUAACUGUCUUUGGUGAACAUUUUCUGUUUCACCAUAAAUGGAGAAUCCUUUGAUGGCCUCUGCAUUUUUUUUUUGCUCCAUUAUAUGUCUGGCCUGGAUCGUCUUCUCUUUCAACACUGUAUUUUCUGGAAAUACAGGAUGAGCCUUUUGUUACAAAUCAGGAACAAUCUAAAAGCAAGAAAUCCUAUAAAGCAGGAAAUCCUUCAGAGCAGAAACAUUCUGGAACUCUGAAAAGGAGACAGGUAGUUUUUCCUGCUCUGGAGGAGACUCUCUCUCUGGAGAACAGUUGGGAAACUGCUCUCUAAGAAGGAAAUUUUGAAGCUGCCAGGAGACUGGACUUUUCUUCAAUCAAGUCAUCUUUAAAAAAAGUGGUAGAGAUAGUGGUUAACAUUACACUGGUUGACAGUAUGUGUUAAACCCUCACUCCCCUUUUGAUCCUGUGUGAUCCUAUAUGCUGCUGAUCUCUACUGGGAUUUCUCCAGACCCAUCAGCAAGAGAACAUCAGUUGUGAGACUCCUUUGGCCUUGUUCCUAUUCAUACAAGCCCUCCCUUAAUCUUAAAUACUAAUUAAGAAAUUAAUUAGAGUAGCAUAGAAAGUUGUUAGUGGGGUUAGAACUGACUUUGAAGUUUUAAGUUUAGAUCUCCCCAAUCCCCUUCCUUUCCUUCCCUUAGCUUAAUAAUUAAUUAAUUAAUUAAUUAUAAGUUAUUUAUUUAAGGGUCUAUUAUUCUACUCACCUAUUUCAAUUGGUGAGGCAGUGGGUCAAAUCUACAAAAAGUGGCUUAGGCCAGAGUAGCUCAGAGAGAUCUGUAGGCCUGGCAGUUGGAAGAUCUUGCAACAUUCUAUUUUGCUUCCCAGCACCUGGUUGCUCUCCAUGGUCCUGGAACAUAGAAUACUGACUUUUGAUUGACCCUAGAGAGGAUUUAAAAGUUAAAGGGUAAAAGCCUGUGUUUUAGGGGGGAAAUUUUUUUUAGCUUUUUUAUUUUCUUUUUUAUUGACAUUUACUAUUGGGAAUCAAGGUGCAUACUAACAACAUGUAUCCUAUCGUAUAUAACAACUUUAUUUAUACAUUUGGCAUCAUGUCAGGAGACAUGAUAAAUGCUAUUUUCCUCUUUUUCUGGGUCUGUUUCAUGUAAAUCUCUUAUGGGAUUUUCACCCUUUUUCCUCAAUUGUGUUAUAUGAUACUAGGUUAUGGAUGGAUAGAACCGGUUAUGUCAUUAACUCUAAGAACAAUUUUUUCCUAUGUAUCUUUACUAUGCUUAUAUUUGAUGGUGUUAUACAAAUUCAGAUUUGGUUUUUAGAAUUGGUAAUAAAAUAAGAGCAAUUGUGCAAUAAUAACUAAGGAUUCAGAAAUGAAACAUGCUAAUGUUAAUGAAGGAAAAAAUUAAAUCAAUGGAACAAUGUAUGAAGGAUGGAAUGAUUCUAAAUAAUGGUGUUAAGCAUGAUUUAUAGGAAAAUGUUAUUGAUAAGGAAAUUAAUGAAGGAAAUGUUUUUUAAAUAGCUAUCCGAUCCAGAUUAGACAGAGAAAAUGCGGAAUUUAAUAACACCUGGGCUACCUUGUUCCCUCUCAGAGAUAUACUAGUUAUCACCUAGGAUGAAGUGUUUAAAAUUAAGACAUAUAAGUUAUUCACUCCUGAGGAUUUAGAAGCAUAGAAACUCUCAUUUUUGUUGGGGGGUUUUUUAUGAACCUAAUAAAGUAAUAAAGGAAUUUUGGAGGGCAAUUAACAUCUUUGAACUGGACUAAGCUGAUUUUUUCUUACUAAUGGAGGAAUUACUUACUAAGAGAGAGUGGAAUCAAUUUAUUGAAGAGACCCCAUGGCCUUAGGAUUUUGAGGACAUGGAUAUGAAUUUCAUUACUAAUUAUAGGCAAAUGAAACAGGCAAGGAGAUCAAUAAUUGAAGUAAUGAAAAGGCACUCUAGGUGUCCCAAUGCGUGGUCAUAUUUUGAAAGCAUAAGACAAGAGCAGGAUAAAACACUAACUAGUUUCUUAGAUAGAAUAAAGACACAGCUGAAUUAAAUUUAGGACUCGAUGUGUUGGCAGAAGACACCAUUGCCUACAUCAAAAGAUUAUUUGUUAAAAAAGCCUGUCCCAAGAUAAAGCAAUUUUUAAGAACAAUUGCCCAGACUGGGAAGAGCUAAGUUUGGAAGAGUUAAAAAGAAAAGCUACUUAUUUAUGUUUAGAUAAUGAGGAUAGGUCAUAUUAAGACAAAGAUACAGUAAUUGAAGAUUUGAGAAAGAAAUUAAGGGAUGCUGAGAAUAAAGCCAGGGAUAGUGAGAUCAAAGAGAUAAAAGCAGUGGCAGCACUUAGAUCUGUGCAACCAAAAAAUCAAUACAGACCAAGAAAAAGAUCAGGCAUUCCAAGGUGUUUGUUAUGAAAUCCUGUAGGGCAUUUUUUAAGAGACUGUAGAUUCAGAGGGCAAUUUUCUAGGCAAAUUAAUGGGAAUAACGGAUACAAAUGGUAAUAUAAUAAUAGAUAGAAUAAUAAUACUUGGAAUAACAACAAUAAUUAUCAGAGGAGAAAUAAUAGUAAUAAUUGUCAAAAUGCUUGCUAUCAAGGAGCUCAAGUGUCUGAUUUAAACACAAUGCAAGAGUGGGUAAAAUCAGAAGCGAGACCUAAGUACAGCCAAGUGGUUAGUAGACAUAUGGGUGAUCAGAACAAAGGGGCAUGUUCAUUAUGAAGGUGUACCUGAAGUUCUCAACUAUUUUAAGAAUCAAGGGGAAAUGGGUUGGAAAUAAAUGGAAUUGAAUGUAAUGCAGAUAAGGUUAAUGAAUUUAUAAAUAAUGUUAUUGAAGCAAAGAAUAAUAUAAUUAGUGUUAAUAAGUGUAAGGGGGAAACAGAGUUAAUUAUAUGAAAAGGUUUGCCUGGAUUAUAUUUAGAAUAGGGUCACCAGGAAUUUAAUUUAUUCUAAAGAGAUUUAUUUACAAUUUAUUUACAAAAUAUAGAAAGAGUGAAGUAAGAAAAUCAGAGAGAAGAUAGGGUAAGAUAUCUAGCCUAAAUACUAAGUAAUUUACUCCUGGCCCCUGGCUCAACCUGGGCAGGGAGAGUUAGUCCUUAGUGACCUUAGCAAAGCCAAGGACCUGGGGAAGUCUCUCUCAAGAGGUAGGUCUCUCAUGAGGCUAGUUUUUUUCAGAAAAUCCAGGAAAGGAGUCAGCCUUUUCACUCACCAUAUGUCAGUCCAAAGGAAGAGAUUUAAGAGCAACCUCACCAGAAACAGGGUCUCAGGUCCAGUCAGCAGAUUAUUCUCCAGUCUCAACUCCAAAGAAAGAAUAAAUCACUCACUCUCACAGGAAGUUGUCAUUCCUUUUAAAGACACUUUCUUUUGCUUCACUUCCUGUGCCUUCCUCCACUUUUUACAUGGACAAAUCAUAGUCUAAAGCCUUGCUUAGGACUUCCCAGGAGGCAGUCAGUCAAUUCUGAUUCAUCACCCAUGAUUGUACAUGUGGGUCACAGACCUUCCCAUUAAAUGAUUAAGUGGGAUGUUUAUACUUUUGGAUGAUUAAAUCUAAAAAUGGGCAGGGGUUACAAUUUAAUCUUUGCAAUCAGGGGAGAGUUAAUUAAUUUCAUUUUCAAAAUAAGGGUAGUGUUAAAUUUAAUCUUCACAUACGUGUGAGGAAAAAGAAAAAAAAUUUAAACCUUUACCAUCCAUCUUGGAGUCAAUACUGUGUAUUGGCUUCAAGGCAAAAGAGUGGUAAGGGCUAGGCAAUGGGGAUCAAGUGACUUGCCCAUGGUCACACAGCUAGGAAGUGGCUGAGGCCAGAUUUGAACCUAGGACCUCCCGUCUCUAGGCCUGGUUCUCAAUCCACUGAGCUACCCAGCUACCCCUGAAAAAGAAAAUUUUAAUGUAAAAUUAGUUGAAAAUUCUAAUGAUUUUGAAAUAAUGGAAAAUAGUGAAGAAUAUAAAUUGGAUAAAGAUAAUGUGAUUGUAAAUGAGAACAAUGAUACCAAAGUAGAGAUUAUAAAGACCAAUGAGAGUAGUGAAAAAGUUGAUGAUGGUGUUAAAGAAGUGAAAUCCUGGGAAUACUAUGCAAUUCAAGCAAAUGUAAAUUUGGAUGGACAGGAAAUGACUCAGCUUUGUACUGAUGUUAUUGUGUUGGAAACAUUUCACCCACCAAAUAGUACAGAACCAUAUUGUCUAGAACUAUUGGAGACCAGAUUUAUGACCUUCUGGUUGAUACUGGAGCCAGUAAAUCAGUUUUGCAGAGUUUUCCUAUGAAUUGUAGAGCUGUUGGUAAAAUGGAAGUAAUAGGUGCUACUGGAAUUACAACCAAAAAUGAUUACUUUAGGUCCAUUAUCUGUGAAGCAUGCAUUUCUUUGUAUGCCAGAAUGUCCAAUGAAUCUUUUAGGAAGAGAUUUAUUAUGUAAACUAAGGGCAAAAAUCCAAUGUACUGAAACUGGUGAUAUCUCAUUACAUCUACCAGAAGAAUCUCUGGAAGCUUUUCCAUUGCUGUUCUUAGAUUCACUCAGUAUAGAGGGUAACUUAGAUUCAAUCUAUCCAAUACCUGAGGAUAUCCCUAAAGAUCUUUGGUCAAAGUCUUCCACACAUGUAGGUCUAUUGAAAUCAGUUACUCCAGUCAGGGUGAAGACUUAGGAAGCACAAGUUCCUUGUGUACCUCAAUAUCCCAUGACUAAAAAAGCAAUUGAGGGUAUAAGAUCAAUCAUUAAAUCUCUAAUACAACAAGGGAUCACACUACCUUGCUUCUCAGAAUUUAAUACUCCUAUUCUCCCAAUCAAAAAGCCAAAGUUAGAUAAAAAUGACAAAUGUAUAUAUCAUUUCAUCCAGGUUUUAAGGGAAGUCAAUGAUUAUGUAAUCAAAACUCAUCCUGUUGUACCAAGACCAGCUACUAUAAUUUCUUCCAUUCCAAGUCAGGCAAGAUAUUUCACUGUGGUAAAUUUAUGCUCAGUUUUUUGCUCAAUUCCAAUUCAUGGGGAUUCUCAAAAGAUCUUUGCUUUUACUUGGGAAAAAACAUAGUGGAUGUGGACUUGCUUGCCUCACUGACUCACCUAGCCAAUUUUCACAAAUUCUGAAGAGAUCUGAAAAUUAUAACAUUCAGAGAAAGUAAAUUGGUGCAUUUUGUGGAUGAUAUUCUUCUUGCAUAUCCAAAUGCAAGAGUGUGUCUUAGAGAUAGCAAGAUUCUUUUGUUAGAAUUAUAUAAGCAUGGGCAUAAAAACUCCAAGGCAAAAUUACAAUGUGUUCUGCCAAGAGUGCAACAUCUAAGUUAUGUGUUAUCAGAGGAUCCAAGAAGUAUCACACAGAAAAGAAUAACAGUAUCCAGAAAAUGGAUGCUCCUAAGACCAAAAAGCAACUCAGAGCUCUUCUUGGAACUGUAGACAAUGGAUACCUGGAUAUAGUGAACUAACAAAAUGUCUAACAGAUUUAACCAAUAAUACAGAACCAGCACCUCUGAAACUAAAGCCUGAACAUCUGCAAGCCUUAAGUAAGCUUAAAGAAGACAUUUUAUCUGCUCCAGCUUUGAGUAUCCCAGACUAUACAAAACUAUUCCAACUAUUUAUUAAUGAGACUAAAGGUAUUGCUUCUGGGGUACUGACACAGACUUUAGGACAAAGUUAUCAUCCAAUUGGAUAUUAUGAUAGUUGUCAGCUUGAUCCAACAAUUGCAGGUACAGUUCCUUGUCUAAGGGGUGUAGCAGCUGCUUGAGUGCUAGUUCAAAAGUCAGCAGAUUUAGUUUUGGGAUGUCCAUUGACUAUAUAUUGUUCACAUCAAAUAGAAGCACUAAUGAGGAAAUUUCAUACUCAAGCUUAUUCAAAUCAAUGAAUUUCUAAAUAUAAAAUUAUUCUCCUGGAUAGUGAGAACAUCCAGUUGAGGAUGUGUAGUAUAUUAAAUCCAGCUACGCUUCUUCUUGAUUUGCCAAAGAAUGGUGAACCACUACAUGAGUGUGUAGAAGUACUAGAUCUAGUGGAUAUGCCUAGGAUGGAUUUGAAAAACACUGCUAUUGAAAAUCCAGUCUUGGUAUUAUUCACAAAUGGUUCUUCAUAUGUGUGUGAUAGAAUUUGAUGUACUGGUACUGCAGUGGUCACAGAAUUUGAGACACUGUGGUAUGGCUCAUUACCUAGUAACCUUUGUGCUCAAGGAGCAGAGUGGUGGCAUCAAAGCAAGCAUGUCUUCUAGCUGAUGGUAAAAGUGCUAAUAUUUUUACAGACUCGCAGUAUGCAUUUUCAGUUUGUCAUACAACAAGAAAGAUCUAGAAAACAAUGAGGUUUUAUUACUACAUCAGGAAAACCAAUUGCACAUGCAGAAAUAAUAACUGAGUUGUUGGAUGCUAUCCAAAAACCUAAAUAGCUAGCAGUGAUCCAUUGUAGAAGUCAUACUUAUGGCAGAGAUUCAGUUUCUAAAGGAAAUCAUAGAGAUGAUAUAACUGCUAAGUUUGCAGUCCAGAAUGACCCAGUGUAUGUAAUGAAUUUGUCAACUACUGAGUCUGAUGAUUUAGAAAGAGCUCAUGUAGACUCAGAAAUUCAUAAGUGGAAGGAGAAAUUUGGAGCAAGGAAAGAACAUGGAAUAUGCAUUAUAGACACUGGAAAACCACUGUUACCAAAAGAUUUAUAUACCUAUUUCUGUCAAGCCAUUCACACAAAAGGUCAUUUUGGUACUCAAGCUGUAGUAGACUCUGUAAAAAGGCAAUGGGUAACACUGGGAAUAAGUACUGUUGCAAAUAAGAUCUGGACUAGUUGUUCUAUUAGCCAAAAAUUCAAUCAAGUUGCAUUCAGAAAGAAAGUUUUGGUUGGUAGACCUUUGGCAUAUUGUCCAUUUGACCAUUUGCAAAUACAAAGGCAUGCCAAAAACUGGAAGAUACAAGUUUUGUCUUGUAAUUUUAGAUAGAUUAACAAAAUGGUCUGAAGCUUUUCCAUCAAAUACUAAUACAACUAGGUUUAUAGUGAAAGUGUUGCUUAAAGAAAUUGUUCCUAGGUUUGGUGUACCAAUUACCAUAGAUUCUGAUAAAGGAUCUCAUUUUACAUGAGAUAUUCUGAAAAGAGUCUAUGAGAAUCUAGGAAUAACACCUACAUAUCAUGUUCCUUAUCAUGCACAAAGUUCAGGUCAAGUGGAGCAUGUGAAUAGGGAACUCAAAAUAAUGGUGCGGAAAAUUUGUUCUGAAACUCAUCUAAAAUGGCCAGAUAUUCUUCCCAUAGCUUUGUUUUACCUACAUACAAGACAAAGAGAAGACUUACAUAUAUCAUCUUAUGAAAUGCUCUUUGGACAUGCUCCAUUGCAGGCAAAAACUUGUAAGGCUGUUCAUACAUCUCUCUCCUAGGAGAUUGUCAACUUGUUUCAUAUUUAAGUGCAUUACAACAAAGACUUAAAGAACUGCAUGAUAUGCGAGUAUUGAUUCAAUCUGGUCCUUUGGAUUAUUCUCUUCAUAAUUUUCAACCAGGUGAUAUGGUGUAUGUGAAAUUUUUUCAAAAUCAUCAGCAACACAAGGGAGUUGAGUAGGUCCUUAUAAAAUUGUGUUUGUUUCACCAUCUUCAGUGAAAGUAGCAGGAAGAGAUUCAUGGUAUCAUUGCUCACAUAUUAAAUUAGCUCAUGGAAUUGAUAAUGAAAAUAUAGAAAUUGUUGAAGAAGAAAAUGAAGAGGAGUUCAUGGAAAGCUGAGAUUCAUUAGUCAAAUAGAGUCUGCAGUCAGAAAUAUCAGUAAGGAGACGACCAUUCCAGUGGAAGAGGACAUUUGGAUGGAAAGAGGACAUUGCAGUUGAAGAGGAUUCAGAAAACUGAUGGACAUUGUACAAAGACUGAAAGACUUAUAAAUAUUAAGCAUAUAAAGACUUUGAAGAGAAUUUUCAAUGAAGAGGAUCAAGUGAUUAAUAGACUAAUGGUUUUAAGGAAUUUGGGUAAUGUAAUAUGACAUAACAUAACAUAUAUUCAUAAGCAUUCAGAAAUACAUAUUACUACCAUGGAUUUUGGAGAGGAAGAAUUCUUCAAACAAGAUGAGAAGAAGAAAAAUAUGAAGUUUUGGUAUGUAUAUUGCAUGCAACAGUAAUAAAACAGUGACACUGACAUAACACUAACAUAACAAGAUAGCAUGAAUAACAACAUAACAAGCACAUAUACACAAAAACAUAAACAUGGUUAUGUUGAAUGAGUGAAACAAUGUAUAGUUAGGUACUAACAAUGUUAUAAUUAGUUAUAAAGUAGUUAGUUACUAACAAAGAAGAGUUAACUACUUAGUAUAGGAUACCAUACUAUACUAUGUAAAUAGAUCAUAUUUGCUAAAUUUUUAACAUAGAAUAGGAUUAUGUUUAAUUUUCAUCUCUUGUUAAAUGUAUUUUGCACAAGUAAGU